rnacentral:rRNA from 1 species
GACAGAGGUCCCGAGCGUUAGGCGGAAUUACUGGGCGUAAAGCGUGCGCAGGCGGUUCGUUGUGUCGGCGGUGAAAGCCCCGGGCUUAACCUGGGAACUGCAUCCGAUACUGGAUGGCUUGAAUCCGGGAGAGGGAUGCAGAAUUCCAGGUGUAGCGGUGAAAUGCGUAGAUACCAGGAGGAACACCGGUGGCGAAGGCGGCUUUCUGGACAGAAACUGACGCUGAUGCGCGAAAGCUAGGGGAGCAAACAGG